CCUACGGGUGGCUACAGUAGGGAAUAUUGCUCAAUGGGGGAAACCCUGAAGCAGCAACGCCGCGUGGAGGAUGCAGGUUUUCGGAUUGUAAACUCCUUUUGUUAGAGAAGAUAAUGACGGUAUCUAACGAAUCAGCACCGACUAACUCCGUGCCAGCAGCCGCGGUAAUACGGAGGGUGCAAGCGUGACUCGGAAUCACUGGGCGUAAAGAGCGCGUAGGCGGGAUAGCAAGUCAGAUGUGAAAUCCUAUGGCUUAACCAUAGAACUGCAUUUGAAACUGUUAUUCUAGAGUAUGGGAGAGGUAGGUGGAAUUCUUGGUGUAGGGGUAAAAUCCGUAGAGAUCAAGAGGAAUACUCAGUGCGAAGGCGACCUGCUAGAACAUAACUGACGCUGAUGCUCGAAAGUGUGGGUAUCAAACAGGAUUAGAUACCCUUGUAGUC
rnacentral:rRNA from 1 species